GAGUUCAGGUAAAGUAGGGAAAAUGCAUAUGGAGAUAGAGGCAAUCUUAGAAUUGAUAUUGUACAUAUAUUGGCCCAUUACCCUCUGCACUGAAAAUCAUAAUGCGUUUAUUACGACAUUCACCAAAUGAUAGCUAUCCCGUACUUUUGGCCUCUGCAGUCUUUGUUAAUAAUGAUGCCUGGAGUUUGGGGGCAGAAACAUAGAGUAUAAUAUAUGGAAAAAUCUGCAGAAAAUAAAUACUUCUUUUACACUGUUAUUUUUAGCUGUUUGUUUAGAGAUUGUGAAAAACAUUGCAUAAGCCAUGUUGUAAGAAAACAUUAUGUAAAUCUUACAAGGAGAACUCAGAAAAUGAGAAGGGGAAACCAGUCUGGCCUGAACUGCCUUCUUGUGUUCUAGACAUCUACAGGCAACAGAUAGGUCUUUCAUAGGCAGAUGAUAAAUAGUGUCCAAUUUAUUUCUUGUUAUCAAUCUAUUGUUCAAAUAAUAUUGUGUAAAGAAACCCACUUCUCUUCAUGACUCAACUCUCACUGCAAGAUAGGAUUUUUAAAACCUAAACUUAAAAGUUUUUUUAAAUGUGAAUAUUAAUUAUUCAUUUAUAUUUAAGAAUUUCUUCAUUAGCAUUUUCCAGAGAUAAGAAUUGAAGGUAUAAUUAACCUUUGAAAUGAAAACUGAGGUUUAAUUAAGACUAGAUAGUACUCCAAUGCCUGACAUCUUCCCGAUCAUGGAAUAAAAUAUUAUGAAAGAUAUGUUUCGGUCCCAAAGGAAGGAAAUAGGUUUCUCUCUCUCUCUCUCUCUCUCUCUCUCUCUCUCUCUCUCUCUCAGAGGACAAGAGAAUAAACUCCACUGUAUCUCAUGGGAUUUUAUUUGAUUAUGUUGCCUGAUAGCAUAUGGACCUGUUUGAACUCAGUUUCUCAAGCUAUGAGCACAAACACAGCCCCACCAAAAGUUCCCAGGCCAACACCAACAGCAGUGGAUUUUGACUGACAUAAUGUCUCUAGUCUGAUGGCUCAGCUGGCCCUCCAUAGCUCUACGCCAACAACUGGAGGUUUCCUUGGCUGGCUGGGUAGUCCUUGCUUGCCACUGUAACAUCAGAAAGACCUGUGGCUCUGCAUUGGCUUAUGCAGAUUUGGAUGUGGGCUGAGGGCACAUCACAGGCAAACAUGUGUUGAGAAUUAUUCUGUGAGUGUCGACUUUGAAGGGCCUCCCAGGUAUAUCGAGAAUUUGGUAUGAUGAGGAGAUGAAUUCAGUUCAGGGUCCUCAAUCUUAUUGCCAAUCUUUUUCAAUAAGAAACCAUCUCCUUGGCUUGCACAUCUGUGUUUGAUAAUGGGAGAGAAUGUCUUUGAUUAGACUUUCAGAGUAAUCACUCAAAGGCAACUUUCUCCUCGGCUUUGCUGCAUCUCAUAAAGUUAGAUUUUGCACAUUAGUGAUGCACUUGAUUGCGCUGAAAUAAUAUUGGCUUUAUGAGAGAGUAUAAUCUUGUUCAAAAUAUAACUCCCUCUUCCUCCCCAAAGUGCUGCUAUUUUUGUGCCAGGUUCCCCUCCACCACGAUGUUUAUGAGCAUUUCCCAAAAUACUAUUUUCUUUGCCUUUAUUGUCGUUUUAUAACCUUUAAUCAUGGUUUUUAAAAAAUGGUACCUUAAUAGCUGAAGGCAAAAUCACAAGUGGUCUUCUCUAAAUUUUUUUUAAAUUAUUUUUUUAUAACCCUAACAAUUUCGAACAGAAAUGGUCUUGAGAUUUUUUUCCCCUAAAAUAUUUGCCUAAGGAGCUGGAGUGAUGGCUCAGUAGUUAACAGCACUGGCUGCUCUUGUAGAGAAGCCAGGUUUAAUUCCCAACACACAUAUGACAGCUCACAACUGUCUGUAACUCCAGUCCUAAGGGAGCCAAUGCCCUCAUCUGGCCUCCCAGGCACCAGGCAUGCACAUGGUACACAGACAUGCAUGCAAGCAAAACAUCCAUCCAUACACACAGAAUAAGAUAUAAAAGGCUAAAAACAAAAUACUUGUUAAGUUUUCCACAAUAAUUUUUAAUAUUUCUAAGAAUGAAAAUCUCUGACCUCAUGUGAAAAGAUACAUACACUCCAUGUUUGUUUAAUUUCUGUCUAGCAUGUAGAAAAUUUCUCUCUCAUUUAGAAAACCAUGCUCUUGAUACUUCUCUUUUUCUCAUUUAUUUACACAGGCAUGUAUGCCAAAAAUUAAGCAUUUUGCCUCAUUUGGCAAAUUCAUGCUAAGAACAAUUUUCCUAAAAUUUGUAGUCUUGAUUCAGUCUUCAGUGUUUUGUCUUCAAACU
rnacentral:lncRNA from 1 species